CGCAUUUGCCUCUUCCUCUUCCGCUUGCUUCCUGUGGCCACCGUGAUUGUGUGACGUGGUUGUUGCGGGCGUAUGAUCCUCUUCGCUCAGAGCGCGACCGGCUGCCGGGCCGUGGGGAUGUGUCGCCCCACUGGUAGUUUUUCCUGGAGAUGCUCAUCUGCCCUUUCGGUGUCGUGGGCUCCCUGUGGCCGUUAAUCCCUGGUGGUGGUGUGUUCUCCACGGUCCCCCCUUUUUUGGUUUUGUGUGUGUGUGAGUGUGUAGUUUCACGGGUGAUUCUGUCGAGGACCUCCCCCC